AUGGACGGGAAGCUGCCGCCGCCCAACCCCAACCUCCCGUACCGGGAGGACUGCUGGAGCGAGGGCGAGACGGCCGCCCUCGUCGACGCCUGGGGGUCGCGAUACAUCGACCUCAACCGCGGCAGCCUCCGCCAGCCGCAGUGGCGCGAGGUCGCCGACGCCGUCAACACCCGCCCGGGGGCCUCCGCGCGCCGCCGGCCCCCGCGCACCGACAUCCAGUGCAAGAACCGGGUCGAUACCCUCAAGAAGAAGUACAAGGCCGAGCGGGCGCGGGGCGGGCCCUCGCCCUGGCCCUUCUUCCGCCAGCUCGACGUCCUCGUCGGCCCGACCCUCUCGGCCGCCGCCGCCAAGAAGCCCUCCCCGCCCCGCGCGCUUCCCAUGCUGCGGAGGCGCAUGUCGCCCUCUCGCUCCCCGUCGCCGCCCUCGCCGGCGCCGCCGAUGGCGCUCCCCCUGCCCAACUACCGCCGCGGGUCCAACCUCCCGGCCGCUGACCUAUUCCAUAAGGCCGCCGCAGCUGCGGCUGCCGCGGAUUCCGACUCGGACGAUGGCUACAAUAACAACAACAACUAUGACGACGACGAGGGCUCGCAGCAAUCGGCCUCGCGCUCAGUGUCGUCUCACUCUGGUGGUAACGGUCCUCCUGUUCUUGGCGGUGGUGGGGGCGGCGGUGGCGGCAACAAAAGGAAGAGGGGCGGGGCCGGAGGUUUUGGGGAGCUAGCGAUGGCUAUGGAGACAUUCGCUGAGAUGUAUGAGCGCAUGGAGGCUGCCAAGCAGAGGCAUGCAGAGGAGAUGGAGAAGCAGCGGAUCAAGUUCCUCAAGGAUCUGGAACUCAAGCGGAUGCAGGCUUUCGUGGACAUGCAGCUUCAACUUUCGAGGGUAAAGCAAGCCAAGAACGGUACCUCGGAGAUGCUCAUGUCUCUUGCUGCACUGCCGUUCCUCAGCAACCCUGCUUACCUCUGA
rnacentral:rRNA from 1 species